UUUGGAGCAGCCCUCGUAUGCACAAUACAAAAUUAUGAUCUUGCUUAAUUUGUAUACAUAUGUACGUUGAGUUGUUGACACGUGUAGAUGGGCCCUUAAUUUCCAGGAGGUACCCAUGUACGAAUUCGCCCUCAACCACACACAUGCGAACACACACUCGAAUUGGCACGUUGCAUAGGCACAUUUCAGUUGCGUUGCAGUUGUUGCUGCCGUGCCAUUUGGUGAAGGAGCUUUCUUCUCACAUUCCUUCAAUCACACAACCUGCGACAACAGUAAAUACAAGCAACGAAAAUAAGCAAGCAAACAAAGCAGAGAGGCUAAACAGGAAAGGAAAGAGUAAAGAAAAACUUUCAUUUUCAAUGUCAAGUGCAAGAAAAAGAGAGCAACAACAGCAACGAAACGACAAGCAACCGGAUGCCGGCUGAGGGCGACUUUUCGAAAGAGAGAGACAUAAACAGAGAGUAAGCGGUUUAGAUAUAUAAUUUUGUCGUAUUCCGCGUGCUUGCAAAAAGCUUUCGGUGCCGUAAAAAAGCUCUAUUGUAAUCUUGCUUAGCCGCGACGCAGUUGUUUUACUAUAAGUAUUUACAGUUUGUAUAUUUUGCAUCUUGUUCCAACUUGUAAUGUAUACGAUCAAUCAAAAUUGUUGCUUUCAGUCAGUGACAUCUUGAUAAAUACAAACAAAAAUACUACAGCAAGACACUCACACUCCCAUACACCACCAUGUGGCGGCGACGCUGGCAAAGUUGCAACAAGCCGAGCCGCGUGACCUUCGACACCAACAACAACAACAAGAGAGGAGGCACCUCCUGCAUAUAUAUACAUGUAUCGACACUCCCACACAGAUGUCCUCAAAUACAGACAAGAUGUAUUGAAAAAUUGCCAAGAAAAAUCUAUGCACAUACAUAUGGAUAUUUUCCUGAUGCUUAAGGUAUCGUGCAAAUGUAUAUGUACAUUUAUGUAUCUUCAUUGUUACUGGGCCCCAUUAACUCACCAUGCUCGUAAGGAGAAAACGUUCCAGCAUCUAUAUUGAUGUACGGAUCAAUUUUGAUGGAUGUCACAUCAAGUUGGCACGACUUAAGCAGAGUUCCAAACGAGGAAGCAAUGACGCCCUUGCCCACACCGCUUAUGACGCCGCCAGUGACCAGGAUGUAUUUCAUAUUUGCGCACGUUUACUUCUUAGAUUCACAGAUGUAGACAAAUAUUCAAUCUCUCCUGCACGUGGCGCGUUAGUUUUUUUUUUCCAAAGGUUUAUCGAAUUUUUACAUUUUACAUUACCAUUCUACAUGGUUCCUACACAUUUGCUACAUAACGGAAGGAAAAAGAGGGUGUGGACAUCAGGCAAAACGGCCCAGAAAAUGCAGCGCAUGCAAGGCGAAGUCUACCCCAACUGCCAACGUACCCAAUCCAAUGUACCUUGCCGAUUUUGUCUGCAAGGCAUGUUGUACUCACACGCGAGAUGAGGUUUCGAACGAAACUUGCAAUUUUUCUUGACUGUUUUUGCCUGUUGUCCAUAAUCUUUUUUUAAGUCAGUAUUAUAUACGGUCUGACCCUCAUAAAUAUACCGAAAUAUACAGUAUAUAGAUGUGCCAGUUCAUACCAUGAAAGCGUCACACGUCGAUUUCUCAAAAGGAGGUCCCAGGGACUUCAGCUCUGGCUUAAGGGUACGGUACUAGCCAGCCAGCGCAGCGGCGCUUGUUAGUAUAUGAGUAUGAGAAUUUCGCAUGGUUUUAGGUUUCUUGUUAUAACUAGCUAUAGCUACAGGUAAUCGAAGGGUAGUCGAGUGGGGAACUAGUUGCUGGCUUUCUACUGGUAACUAGUUCGGAACUACCUCCUGAGCAACUUUACGGGUAAUCGAAGGGGAAUCGAGCGGGAACCAGGGGUGGUUCCGCCCUAGGAAAUGCAUGUGUUAAAUUCUCCGCUGAAAUACAUUGCGGGUAAUCGAUCUGGAACCAGGGAGGUGAGAAUGGUAGCUAGUGCGGCACCAGUGCGGAACUAGUUGCCUGGUACUAGAGGGUAUGUGUGCCUCCAGCAUAUAUAUUUUAAUGUAUAGGUGCACACCACCCUGGUUCGCGCUCGAUUACCCGAUUACUCGAUUGCUCAGGAGGUAGUUCCGAACUAGUUACCAGUAGAAAGCCAGCAACUAGUUCCCCACUCGAUUACCCGUAGCUAGCCCUGACCUAGCUACCAGUGAAUAACACAAAAAUAAAAAUACAAUGUCUUCCAAUAUAAACGUAUAAUAUUAAAUUGUAUGUAGCUUAGCCUAGUCCAUUUCCAUAUAUUUCUUUUUGAAAAACUUCUUCUUCAUCCUCUGCAUUGCUUUCCGUAAAAUGCCUUCGGAGUUCUCCUCUCCAGGCGGAAUACAUUCUGUAAUUAUUUUUGUAUUAUAUAAUUUGAACAAUUUUAAACUCUAGAAGUGUAAAUGGUAUUUUACCUAGCAAAGCUGCAAAAAAUUCCUUGUGGGACCUAAGUGCCUUCUUCCCUUGGACCCCAUCGACAUUAUAUGCCAGAACGAUUUCCUCGCUCAUAAUAAAGCUUAAACUGCUUAAAACGCCAGUUGGCUGCAGAACUGAUUUCAUUUCUGUUAUCUGUAAAUAAACCAUAAAAUAUAAAGAUAAGACAGAGAAAAAGGUCAUAUAAUUUAGAGUACAGAUUUACUUACAUAAAUGCUCCUAUUUAAUUUUAUUUUUUCCUCCAAUUCUAUUAACUGCUCUUCAGAUUUGAUUGGGAAAUGUUCCCGAAUGGGAUUCAUUUCCCCUUUCUCCUUGACCUGCUGUUUGAUCAAAUCAGUUUGAUCCGCCAAAAUUUGGAGCACCUUUUGUAAUUGAUCUACAUAAAAACAAUGUUGUUAAUUAAUUUGAUUAUACAAAUAUUUUUCCAUUAAUCUUUAUAAGUCUUACCACGAAAAUCCUCAUAACUAAACAAACAGACCUCCUCACUAAGACUUCCCCCUGGUACCAACAAGUUAUCAACCUAUCUUCCACUCAUCCUCCCCCCAAAAACCUAAACAACCUUAACAGAAGACACCAAGUCAUCCUAAAUAGAUUGAGACUAGGGCACACAAGAUUCACCAAUGCCCACUACAUGGAUAAAACAUCCUCCAACGCAUGCCCACUGUGCCACAACCCAACCAUAGACAUAAGACACAUAAUAUACACAUGCCCCGCCCUCUCUCUUCAAAGAUCCUCAAUAUUCCAUAACACCGACCCCAUGCAAUACAUCUCCAACCCUAACACCAAAAACGCAAAAAUAAUCCUCAACUAUCUAGACCAAUCUAAAAUCAUUCACUACAUAUAACCUCAUAAACAAUCAUCCCUGUACAUAUACAUAUACACAAUUAGUAUUUUAGAUAAUAAUUCCUCCACAACAUAUAAUAACGUAUAGAACCAACCCUGUACAUAUGUAUAUAAGUACAUACAUCCUCAAACGUAUAAUAAUACUAUAGUGAGCUUAAGGCCUCAGCAGCUAUAGCCCCAUACCCUGUUAAUACCUAGUUU